AUGUUAUAUAAAAGGAGAGAAGGGUAACAUUCUCCUUGGCAAAGAUGGGUGAGACUCUUGGGCUUAACAACAUUAACAAAAUGAUUAAGGCAGUGCCACGUACUUGAUAGCACCUGACAACAUUUUAUUUAU